AUUGAACGCUGGCGGCAGGCCUAACACAUGCAAGUCGAGCGAGUGGCGGACGGGUGAGUAAUGUAUGGGAAACUGCCCGAUGGAGGGGGAUAACUACUGGAAACGGUGGCUAAUACCGCAUACCAUCGGAUGUGCCCAGAUGGGAUUAGCUAGUAGGUGGGGUAACGGCUCACCUAGGCGACGAUCCCUAGCUGGUCUGAGAGGAUGACCAGCCACACUGGAACUGAGACACGGCCCAGACUCCUACGGGAGGCAGCAGUGGGGAAUAUUGCACAAUGGGCGCAAGCCUGAUGCAGCCAUGCCGCGUGUAUGAAGAAGGCCUUCGGGUUGUAAAGUACUUUCAGCGAGGAGGCGUUACCCGCAGAAGAAGCACCGGCUAACUCCGUGCCAGCCGCCGCGGUAAUUC
rnacentral:rRNA from 1 species